AAUGAACGCUGGCGGCAUGCCUAACACAUGCAAGUCGAACGAAGGCUUCGGCCUUAGUGGCGCACGGGUGCGUAACGCGUGGGAGUCUGCCCUCAGGUUCGGAAUAACAGCGAGAAAUUGCUGCUAAUACCGGAUGAUAUCGCGAGAUCAAAGAUUUAUCGCCUGAGGAUGAGCCCGCGUAGGAUUAGCUAGUUGGUGUGGUAAAGGCGCACCAAGGCGACGAUCCUUAGCUGGUCUGAGAGGAUGAUCAGCCACACUGGGACUGAGACACGGCCCAGACUCCUACGGGAGGCAGCAGUGGGGAAUAUUGGACAAUGGGCGAAAGCCUGAUCCAGCAAUGCCGCGUGAGUGAUGAAGGCCUUAGGGUUGUAAAGCUCUUUUACCCGGGAUGAUAAUGACAGUACCGGGAGAAUAAGCUCCGGCUAACUCCGUGCCAGCAGCCGCGGUAAUACGGAGGGAGCUAGCGUUAUUCGGAAUUACUGGGCGUAAAGCGCACGUAGGCGGCUUUGUAAGUUAGAGGUGAAAGCCUGGAGCUCAACUCCAGAAUUGCCUUUAAGACUGCAUCGCUUGAAUCCAGGAGAGGUGAGUGGAAUUCCGAGUGUAGAGGUGAAAUUCGUAGAUAUUCGGAAGAACACCAGUGGCGAGGCGGCUCACUGGACUGGUAUUGACGCUGAGGUGCGAAAGCGUGGGGAGCAAACAGG
rnacentral:rRNA from 1 species